GACGAACGCUGGCGGCGUGCUUAACACAUGCAAGUCGAACGGAAAGGCCCUUCGGGGUACUCGAGUGGCGAACGGGUGAGUAACACGUGGGUGAUCUGCCCUGCACUUUGGGAUAAGCCUGGGAAACUGGGUCUAAUACCGAAUAGGACCACGCGCUUCAUGGUGUGUGGUGGAAAGCUUUUGCGGUGUGGGAUGGGCCCGCGGCCUAUCAGCUUGUUGGUGGGGUAAUGGCCUACCAAGGCGACGACGGGUAGCCGGCCUGAGAGGGUGACCGGCCACACUGGGACUGAGAUACGGCCCAGACUCCUACGGGAGGCAGCAGUGGGGAAUAUUGCACAAUGGGCGCAAGCCUGGUGCAGCGACGCCGCGUGAGGGAUGACGGCCUUCGGGUUGUAAACCUCUUUCACCAGGGACGAAGCGUAAGUGACGGGACCUGGAGAAGAAGCACCGGCCAACUACGU
rnacentral:rRNA from 1 species